UAGCUAGUUGGUGAGGUAAAGGCUUACCAAGGCGACGAUCUGUAGCGGGUCUGAGAGGAUGAUCCGCCACACUGGAACUGAGACACGGUCCAGACUCCUACGGGAGGCAGCAGUGGGGAAUUUUGGACAAUGGGGGCAACCCUGAUCCAGCCAUGCCGCGUGAGUGAAGAAGGCCUUCGGGUUGUAAAGCUCUUUCGGCCGGGAAGAAAUCGCAUGGGCCAAUACCCUGUGUGGAUGACGGUACCGGAAUAAGAAGCACCGGCUAACUACGUGCCAGCAGCCGCGGUAAUACGUAGGGUGCGAGCGUUAAUCGGAAUUACUGGGCGUAAAGCGUGCGCAGGCGGUUUUGUAAGACAGGCGUGAAAUCCCCGGGCUUAACCUGGGAACUGCGUUUGUGACUGCAAGGCUAGAGUACGGCAGAGGGGGGUGGAAUUCCACGUGUAGCAGUGAAAUGCGUAGAGAUGUGGAGGAACACCAAUGGCGAAGGCAGCCCCCUGGGUCGAUACUGACGCUCAUGCACGAAAGCGUGCGUAGCAAACAGGAUUAGAUACCCUGGUAGUCCACGCCCUAAACUAUGUCAACUAGGUGUUGGGUGGGUAAAACCAUUUAGUACCGUAGCUAACGCGUGAAGUUGACCGCCUGGGGAGUACGGCCGCAAGGUUAAAACUCAAAGGAAUUGACGGGGACCCGCACAAGCGGUGGAUGAUGUGGAUUAAUUCGAUGCAACGCGAAAAACCUUACCUACCCUUGACAUGCCAGGAACUUGCCAGAGAUGGCUUGGUGCCCGAAAGGGAGCCUGGACACAGGUGCUGCAUGGCUGUCGUCAGCUCGUGUCGUGAGAUGUUGGGUUAAGUCCCGCAACGAGCGCAACCCUUGUCGUUAAUUGCCAUCAUUUAGUUGGGCACUUUAACGAGACUGCCGGUGACAAACCGGAGGAAGGUGGGGAUGACGUCAAGUCCUCAUGGCCCUUAUGGGUAGGGCUUCACACGUCAUACAAUGGUCGGUACAAAGGGUUGCCAAGCCGCGAGGCGGAGCCAAUCCCAGAAAGCCGAUCGUAGUCCGGAUUGCAGGCUGCAACUCGCCUGCAUGAAGUCGGAAUCGCUAGUAAUCGUGGAUCAGCAUGUCACGGUGAAUACGUUCCCGGGUCUUGUACACACCGCCCGUCACACCAUGGGAGCGGGUUCCGCCAGAAGUAGGUAGCCUAACCGCAAGGGGGCGCUUACCACGGCGGGGUUCGUGACUGGGGUGAAGUCGUAACAAGGUAGCCGUAGGGGAACCUGCGGCUG
rnacentral:rRNA from 1 species